rnacentral:rRNA from 1 species
CACGGGGGGAGCAAGCGUUGUUCGGAAUCACUGGGCGUAAAGGGCGUGUAGGCGGUCAAGUAAGUGGAAUGUGAAAGCCCCCGGCUUACCCGGGGAUCUGCAUCCCAAACUGCUUGGCUUGAGUACGGGAGAGGAUAGGGGAAUUCCUGGUGUAGCGGUGAAAUGCGUAGAUAUCAGGAGGAACACCGAUGGCGAAGGCAGCUCGCUGGGACGGUACUGACGCUGAGGCGCGAAAGCGUGGGGAGCGAACAGG